ACAGCAGCGAUUAAUGCACUGUUCUCGUGACCACUUGUUUCUCUCUCUCUCUCUCUCUCCCCCAAAAAAGCCCCAAUCCCUCCUCCAUCAGGCCCCAAAAUCGGAGCUCCCCCAUGUCCGAUUUCUCCGACGAGCUCCAACUGCAACUCCAAUCGGCCAUCAACCAGAUCCGCCUCUUCACCAACUCCGACGAGCUCGAUCUCGAGAUCCCCCAACUCAGGUAACCCUCCCUCCUCCCUCUCUCGACACCGUCUCCUAUUCUCAGGUAUUUGUUUCAUUUUCCUCUCUCAAGUAACCCUCUCUCAGGUAACCCUCUCUUAGGUAUUUGUUUCAUUUUCCUAAUAAUUUUUUUUUUGUUGUUGAUUCUGAUAUGAUGUCUUUUGUUUUCCUAUUCUAAUUGGUAGAAAAUGGGAAAGAAUCAGUAUAGGCAUUUGUCAUUUCAGCUUGUUUUUCCCCCGCAUAGUUUGAUUGAUGAUUAGUUUAGUUAUGGAAAUCUAUUGAUUAAUUGAUUUGGGUUCUUUUGUUUUCGGAAAUAUUUGGAGGAAAUCAACGAAAUAAAUGCCUUUUGGUUGACUCGCGACUCAAACCUCUAGCCUAUGAUGAAUUCUUGAACCUCGAUGCCUAAUUUUCAGUCUCUGUGGUCGCAAGUAUCGAAGCUUUUGUGAGAAAUGAAAAACUUGAACACUGAAGUAGGGGCUAGCUGUCAAAAUGAAGCUAAUGCAGUAAACUUGGAUGACAAUAUUUCUUUGAUGCAUUAUAGAUGUGGCUUAUAGGUUGUUGCAACAUGGUUUGUGAUCUCUCUAGCUUGUUGCUUGAGAGCUUCAAUCCUCUUCUCAGCCGUAGGGGCUAGCAUCCACUGUAUCUCAGCAAUAUUGCAUUGUUGCUUCAAUACCAACCUCUUCAUAAGUAGUCUAAUAAUGAUCUCCAUGGGUGUGAGUAGUGGGUUGUCUCUAUGCAGCAAAAAUCAUCAGUCUCACACAUGUUAGUCAACAAUCAAUCUGAUUUGAUUCGAUAUCUGAAUGCAUUCCACUGAGCUAGAUUUUCAGGCAUGAGGUAGCUAUAUGCUCCCUCAUGCAUAUUUUUCAUGACCAUCAUUGCCUCAUCAAACUCCAAUAUUGUUACUACCCUACAUGCUUUCCACGUAUCAUCCUCGAAUGCUUUUCUUAUCAUAUCUUUGCUUGAAAUUGGCAUAUUUAUGCCUACAAGAGAAUCUAACCUCUCCUGUUGGUACAACAAUGCUUAGAGCCUCAAUUAAUCCCUACAAAACUAGAUAAACAAAUCAUUAGAACAAUAGGGCUAAAAAAUAGAUGAAUGAAACAUGCACUAAAAUGAUAAAAAUUUAAAAUUAUAUCGCCUUUUGUCUACUAGAUAUGAAAUCAACACCAACUUUCCUUGUUAUCCAAUAUACUAUGAGAAAUAUAUUGAAAAAAUUGGUGGUGUGAUGGGCUGUUUUUGUUGCUUCAAGCAAAACAUUGAGGCAAAUAAACAGAGAUUAGCAAAUAAUGCAAGAGAAAUAAGAAAAGGGAAGACUCUAGCCAACCUUGUGGAUAACUUCUCUCUUGAAUCAGGUACGUUCAACAAUUUUAUUUCCUUGCAAUUUUAGUACUUUUUGUUAUUCUGAAUUAUUAUGAAAUGAUAAGAAUUGGGUCACUAAUAUUCAAUAACAGUUCCAUUUUCUUGAGAUGAUUUUUCCUUAUGCCUGAUUUAUCAUAUAUAAUAUGAAAUAUUGUCAGAUUUUACCACAAUGUAAUGUAAUCUAUAAACUUUAUUAUUCAACAUCUGUACAAUGCAUAAUGUAUAAGUGUAAGUAAAUUAGGGGUCUUCAUUGUUCUGCAUUUUUAAAGAAUUUUCAAUCAAUAAUACAUACAUUAUGAAGAAAUAAAGUUACAGAAAUUUCCAAGUGCAAGGAAUUUAUUGAUUUUUUUAAGAACCACCUUAGUCUACCUCUCUUUUUCUAUUUGUUCAUCUUUGAUUAAUUGGUGUGCAGAGAUGAAUUUGGAUUGAUUGGCAACAAUAAUGCAAAGGUCGCCUAGAGCUCUUCUGCAUAGAAGAGCAAUUGCAUCGGCUACAUUAGAGAAGAAAUGGAGCUUGGCUAGCAAACGUCUCCUUAUUUUUGCAUUUUAUUUAUAAUUCUAGAAGUUUUAUUGUUGUGUUGAGCCUGAAUUUUGAGAGUAACUUAUGUGAUUUUAUGAACCUUGAAUUUUGGGAGUAGAUUAUGUACAUAAUUUGGAUUCCGUUGGGUUUUUGUAUGGGCAAAAGAAAAGAAACAUGCUCUUGUGACGUUAGCAACUAGUAUGCUGAACUCCUAAUGCUCUUAUGUUCCCAUUUUUCUAAUUUUUUUAAUUGUGUAUAUUGUUUGUUAUGUAAAUUGGAUGGAGAAAUAUAUGUGUAUAUUUUAUUA